rnacentral:rRNA from 1 species
AGAGUUUGAUCCUGGCUCAGGAUGAACGCUAGCGGCAGGCUUAACACAUGCAAGUCGAACGGUAACAUGAGAGCUUGCUCUUGAUGACGAGUGGCGCACGGGUGCGUAACGCGUAUACAAUCUACCUUUUACAGGGGGAUAGCCUUUAGAAAUGAAGAUUAAUAUCCCAUGGUAUUAUUGAUUGGCAUCAAUUAAUAAUUAAAGCUUCGGCGGUAAGAGAUGAGUAUGCGUUCUAUUAGCUAGAUGGUGUGGUAACGGCACACCAUGGCUACGAUAGAUAGGGGCCCUGAGAGGGGGAUCCCCCACACUGGUACUGAGACACGGACCAGACUCCUACGGGAGGCAGCAGUGAGGAAUAUUGGACAAUGGAGGAGACUCUGAUCCAGCCAUGCCGCGUGCAGGAAGACUGCCCUAUGGGUUGUAAACUGCUUUUAUACAGGAAGAAACACUCCCUCGUGAGGGAGCUUGACGGUACUGUAAGAAUAAGGACCGGCUAACUCCGUGCCAGCAGCCGCGGUAAUACGGAGGGUCCGAGCGUUAUCCGGAAUUAUUGGGUUUAAAGGGUCCGUAGGCGGGUAGCUAAGUCAGUGGUGAAAGUUUGCAGCUCAACUGUAAAAUUGCCAUUGAAACUGGUUGUCUUGAAUUAAUGUGAAGUGGUUAGAAUAAGUAGUGUAGCGGUGAAAUGCAUAGAUAUUACUUAGAAUACCAAUUGCGAAGGCAGAUCACUAACAUUAUAUUGACGCUGAUGGACGAAAGCGUGGGGAGCGAACAGGAUUAGAUACCCUGGUAGUCCACGCCGUAAACGAUGGAUACUAGCUGUUCGGAAUUUAUUCUGAGUGGCUAAGCGAAAGUGAUAAGUAUCCCACCUGGGGAGUACGUUCGCAAGAAUGAAACUCAAAGGAAUUGACGGGGGCCC